CCCAGAUGCAGACAUGGGAGUCAGAUGGUUCGAGUCUCUGAUAUUUAUUAUAAUCCAAGGGGCAGUGGUGUAGCGGUGCCUGGUCUGUAUGGAGGAGUGGGCCAAAAUCCCUGCUGCAGUGUGUGCAAACCUGGUCAAGAACUACAGGAAACAUGUGAUCUCUGUAAUUGCAAACAAAGAUUCCGUCUCUUACAGUUGAAGUGUACCUAUGAUAAAAAUUACAGACCUCUACAUGCUUUGGCUCCCUGGUGUCUCUUUAACUGUCAGUUCAGCGGAGGAGGCAGUGUGAACUUCAGUUUGUCACCCCUAACUUUCCUGUCACAGGCGGUCAAAAGAGUAAGUCUUAUAGGCCACAGAGGAUGUAAAGAAGAGAAGAGGGAGUGGCCCACUCGUCCCUGGUCUAAAGUAGUGCACUAUAUAGUGAAUAGGGUGCGAUUUGGAUGCAAACCUAGAGCUAGUCUGCUUCACUGUGUACGCCUAUAGACUUCUCUAUUCUUAGAAGGUGAUGAUGAGUGGAAAAAUGUAUCACUACCCAUGUGAUUUUAAGUGUUAUAGAAGAUCAUCUGUAAUAUCAAUAUGUCGCAAACCAGAUCUAAGGCCAUUAUAAUUGGUCUUCUCCCUCUGCAUCAGACUGGCUGCUAUGUGUAGUAACUCAGCCUGCUUAGAUAUAACAUUACAUUUCAGACUAAUAGGUGUCAUCAAACACAGUUGCUAGUCUCUCUUUCGACCCUCCUCUUGUAAGAUUGUUUAGGGACAGAAAGACAGUUUGCGCCUCCAUUACUAUAUAGUAGGUUGAGUUGAAUAUCUGCCCAGCAACAGUGAUUAUUAGAUGACAUGUGAUUGUGUCCUGAGUCUCUACGCGUUUAAAUAGACAGUCCAAUUCUGAUAUUUUAACCAAUCGGACGAGCUCUGAAAAAGACAAGAUGUCAAAAGAUCUGAUAUGAUUGGUUAGUGGGACCAAUCAGUGGGAAAAAGUUCAGAAUUGGGCUGAAUGUCUAAACGCAGCCUAUGGCUCAAAUUAUGUUUUAUUCAGCCUGUUUCCUGUAUUUGAUGUCUUAUUCAGCCUGUUUCCUGUAUUUGAUGUCUUAUUCAGCCUGUUUCCUGUAUUUGAUGUCUUAUUCAGCCUGUUUUCUGUAUUUGAUGUCUUAUUCAGCCUGUUUCCUGUAUUUGAUGUCUUAUUCAGCAUGUUUGAUUUGAUUUGCCUGAAUUUGAAAACCAAACGCAUAGAAAUAAAAUGACAUGAAUGUAGCUCUAAACUCCAUAUUAUAUUCUUCACACUCCAAUAUGGUGGCCGAGCAUCCCACUUGGAUCAUAGCAUUUAAAUUAGAAUAUCUAUUGUACUGCAUUUCUAGCUACAUGGACCUGGCCUGCAGACUGUUGUGAUGGCACAGAUAGCCAGCCCACCGUGCAGCCCACUGCUGUGUCUGGUAUCUCACACUAAGGUGAGAGAGGAGGGGAUAGAGGAGGGAUGGCUGAUCAGUGAACCCCCAGGCAUGCAGGGCUGUCUAGGUAUGAAUACAUACCCCUGGGGGGUCUUAACAAAGGCUGCCCCCCAGCCUCCAGGCUCCACCAUAUUGAGACAUUCCUUCAUACGGUUGCA
ensembl:lncRNA